AUUGCACGCUGGCGGCAGGCCUAACACAUGCAAGUCGAGCGGAGCGGCGGACGGGUGAGUAAUGCCUAGGAAUCUGCCUGGUCGUGGGGGAUAACGUCCGGACACGGGCGCUAAUACCGCAUACUAUCAGAUGAGCCUAGGUCGGAUGAGCUAGUUGGUGGGGUAAAGGCCUACCAAGGCGACGAUCCGUAACUGGUCUGAGAGGAUGAUCAGUCACACUGGAACUGAGACACGGUCCAGACUCCUACGGGAGGCAUCUGUGGGGAAUAUUGGACAAUGUGCGCAACCCUGCUCCAGCCAUGCCGCGUGUUUGAUGAAGGUCUUCGGAUUGUAAAGCACUUUAAGUUGGGAGGCGUUACCAACAGAAUAAGCACCGGCUAACUUCGUGCCAGCAGCCGCGGUAAUAC
rnacentral:rRNA from 1 species